rnacentral:rRNA from 1 species
ACGUAGGGAGCGAGCGUUAUCCGGAAUUAUUGGGUGUAAAGGGUGCGUAGACGGGAGAACAAGUUAGUUGUGAAAUACCUCGGCUCAACUGAGGAACUGCAACUAAAACUGUACUUCUUGAGUGCAGGAGAGGUAAGUGGAAUUCCUAGUGUAGCGGUGAAAUGCGUAGAUAUUAGGAGGAACACCAGUGGCGAAGGCGACUUACUGGACUGUAACUGACGUUGAGGCACGAAAGUGUGGGGAGCAAACAG